UACACGGUACGCACGGUACACUGACCAACCACCCAGCUCUACCCCAGUCCUGUAGGACCCCUGGGGUCUACGAUACACGAUAUACGUUUGACCCUCACCUGAUGUUCAGUAACAGGAUCCACCGGCGCAACAGGCUGAGACGGGCCUGAAGAGCAGGAGGAGAGGAGGGCUGUCUGAGCCCGUGCUGCUGUUCCCUAGUGUCUGAGACCUCAGCCCUGUAGGGGUUGGA